GUGUGUGUGUGUGUGUGUGUGUGUGUGUGUGUGUGUGUGUGUGUGUGUGUGUGUGAACAGUUAUAAGAAAAAACCCUGAAUUGUUAAAAUGUUCUGAAAAGCUGUGAGAAGUCUACCAAAUGUCCAUAUAAAUUUGUUUUCAAACCUUGCUUUGUGACGCUUUCCCAUCUGUUUUACCUUAACUUAUUACGACACUUUGCUGCGCUCACCCUCAUGAUUUCCAUGCAUCCUUACUUUGAAACCAUUAUCUGAAGCCUUUUUGCCACAGUGGGUAGUUUUCUUGGUGUAUUUUGGUGAGCUGAUUUAAAGUACAGAACAAUGUGUUUUGAAGUCUGCUGACAGAAAACUGUGUUUUUUUGACCUGUGAUAGUGUUAUUGGACAGGAAUGAAGAGGAAAAGGGACACCUGUAUAUUUURUAAAGUUUGAUCCUCAUCAAUCACAUGUAAAAAGAAAAAAAAGUGAUGCACUGUCUGGCUUUUGUCGCAUGUGAAAUAGUUUCAGUUUUGUAUAUUUAUGGUAUUAACA